AGAGUUUGAUCAUGGCUCAGGAUGAACGCUAGCGGCAGGCUUAAUACAUGCAAGGCGAGGGAUGUUAGCAAUAAUAGACCGUCGUACGGGUGCGUAACGCGUAUGCAACUUACCUUUAUCUGGGGGAUAGCCUGUGGAAACACGGAUUAAUACCGCAUAAUAAAUGAUUCGGCAUUGGAUUAUUUUAAAAGAUUUAUCGGAUAGAGAUAGGCAUGCGUAAGAUUAGCUAGUUGGUAAGGUAACGGCUUACCAAGGCUACGAUCUUUAGGGGCUCUGAGAGGAGUAACCCCCACACUGGCACUGAGAUACGGGCCAGACUCCUACGGGAGGCAGCAGUAGGGAAUAUUGGGCAAUGGAUGCAAGUCUGACCCAGCCAUGCCGCGUGCAGGAAGACGGCCCUCUGGGUUGUAAACUGCUUUUGAAUGGGAAGAACCGGUGAUAUGCGUAUCACUCUGACGGUACCAUUAGAAUAAGCCACGGCUAACUACGUGCCAGCAGCCGCGGUAAUACGUAGGUGGCGAGCGUUAUCCGGAUUUAUUGGGUUUAAAGGGUGCGUAGGCGGCUGAUUAAGUCAGCGGUGAAAGGUAGCAGCUUAACUGUUUUACAUGCCGUUGAUACUGGUUAGCUUGAGAUACGAGGAGGCAGAUAGAAUUUCUGGUGUAGCGGUGAAAUGCUUAGAUACCAGAAGGAAUACCGAUUGCGAAGGCGAUCUGCUACAAGUAAACUGACGCUGAGGCACGAAAGUAUGGGGAUCAAACAGGAUUAGAUACCCUGGUAGUCCAUACAGUAAACGAUGAUUACUAGCUGUUGG
rnacentral:rRNA from 1 species